rnacentral:rRNA from 1 species
UACGUAGGGUGCAAGCGUUGUCCGGAAUUAUUGGGGGCGUAAAGAGCUCGUAGGCGGUUUUGUCGCGUCGGCUGUGAAAAACCUAGGGCUCAACUCUGGGCUUGCAGCCGAUACGGGGCAAACUAGAAUUCGGUAGGGGGAGACUGGAAUUCCUGGUGUAGCGGUGAAAAUGCGCAGAUAUCAGGAGGAACACCGGUGGCGAAGGCGGUUCUCUGGGGCCUUACCUGACGCUGAGGAGCGAAAAGCGUGGGGGAGCGAACAGG